AUGCACGCAGGUGCGAUGGGGGGACUCCGAGUGCAGUCUUCCAAAACGGAAGGCCGCUUUUCUGCACUUUAAGCAGGUGCCGAAACAAGGGGUGGGCAAGACGGCUGCCAGCCGCCGCGGUAAUAGCCGCACCCCGAGUGGUAGUCAUUGUUAUUGGGCUUAAAGUGUUCGUAGCCGGACACACAAGUCUGCUGUGAAAUCCAUGCGCUUAACGUAUGGACAUGCAGCGGAUACUGUGUGUCUAGGAACCGGACGGCGUCGAGGCUAUUCCCGGGGUAGGGGUGAAAUCCUAAAAUCCUGGGAGGAGCACCUGUGGCGAAAGCGCUCGACGAGUACGGAUUCGACGGUGAGGAACGAAAGCC
rnacentral:rRNA from 1 species